CGGUGUGUGAAGAAGCCUUAUGGUUGUAAAGCACUAAAGCGAGGAGGACGGCUACUUAGUUCAUACCUAGAGAUAGUGGACGUUACUCGCAGAAUAAGCACCGGCUAACUCUGUGCCAGCAGCCGCGGUAAUACAGAGGGUGCAAGCGUUAAUCGGAUUUACUGGGCGUAAAGCGCGCGUAGGCGGCUAAUUAAGUCAAAUGUGAAAUCCCCGAGCUUAACUUGGGAAUUGCAUUCGAUACUGGUUAGCUAGAGUGUGGGAGAGGAUGGUAGAAUUCCAGGUGUAGCGGUGAAAUGCGUAGAGAUCUGGAGGAAUACCGAUGGCGAAGGCAGCCAUCUGGCCUAACACUGACGCUGAGGUGCGAAAGCAUGGGGAGCAAACAGGAUUAGAUACCCUGGUAGUCCAUGCCGUAAACGAUGUCUACUAGCCGUUGGGGCCUUUGAGGCUUUAGUGGCGCAGCUAACGCGAUAAGUAGACCGCCUGGGGAGUACGGUCGCAAGACUAAAACUCAAAUGAAUUGACGGGGGCCCGCACAAGCGGUGGAGCAUGUGAUUUACUUCGAUGCAACGCGAAGAACCUUACCUGGCCUUGACAUA
rnacentral:rRNA from 1 species